CUGCAACUUAGUUUAUUUAGAACAGCCAACUUGCACUUGACAAGAGAGACACCUCAGUAGC
rnacentral:tRNA from 1 species